rnacentral:rRNA from 1 species
GUGACUGCGGAGGGAUCAUU